UACGAAGGGGGCUAGCGUUGUUCGGAAUUACUGGGCGUAAAGGGCGCGCAGGCGGCCUUCCAAGUCAGGCGUGAAAGCCCCGGGCUCAACCCGGGAACAGCGCUUGAGACUGGGGGGCUUGAGUUCGGGAGAGGAGAGUGGAAUUCCCAGUGUAGAGGUGAAAUUCGUAGAUAUUGGGAAGAACACCGGUGGCGAAAGCGGCUCUCUGGUCCGGACCUGACGCUGAGGCGCGAAAGCGUGGGGAGCAAACAGG
rnacentral:rRNA from 1 species